GCCUGCCAGUGACCUUGUUCAACGGCCGCGGUAUCCUAACCGUGCGAAGGUAGCAUAAUCACUUGUUCUUUAAAUGAGGACUAGUAUGAAUGGCAUCACGAAGGUUAUACUGUCUCCUUUUUUUAAUCAGUGAAACUAAUCUCCCCGUGAAGAAGCGGGGAUAAGUCUAUAAGACGAGAAGACCCUAUGGAGCUUUAAACGAAGCAACACCUGUUAAGCAAUAAAAAAAUUUAAGAAAACUAACAAACACUUUAACACCCUGUAUGCAAGUUUUAGGUUGGGGCGACCACGGAGUACAAUUUAACCUCCGCAAUGAAAAGACAAACCUCCUUAACCAAGAGUAACAACUCUAAGUAUCAAAAAAUUGACAUUCUUUGACCCAAUAAUUUGAUCAAUGAACCAAGUUACCCUAGGGAUAACAGCGCAAUCCUCUUCAAGAGCCCCUAUCGACAAGAGGGUUUACGACCUCGAUGUUGGAUCAGGGGCUCCCAGUGGUGCAGCCGCUACUAAAGGUUCGUUUGUUCAACGAUUAA
rnacentral:rRNA from 1 species